GCCAGGUGUGGUGGUGCACCCCUGUAGUCCCAGCUACUUGGGAGGCUGAGGCACGAGAAUCACUUGAACCUGGGAGAUUUGAGGUUGCAGUGAGCUGAGAUCAUGCCAUUGCACUCCAGCCUGGGUGACACAGUGAGACUCUGUCUCCA
rnacentral:SRP_RNA from 1 species